GCGUCUUUAGCUCAGAGGGAGAGCGCCGCCUUGACAUGGCGGAGGCGGCAGGAUCGUUACCUGCAAGACGCACCA
rnacentral:tRNA from 1 species